rnacentral:tRNA from 1 species
GGUUGUGUCGUAUAACGGUAUUACUUUGGAUUGCAAAUCCUACAAAGGCGGUUCGAUUCCGCCCGCAACCU